CCCCAACUUUCCCCCCUAAAAUCCCUAAUUUCCCACAUCCAAGAAAAAAACCCAAAAGCUUAUUCAACUCUGUGUUUUUUCCCAACUGAAGCCAAGCCAGUUCUUGUUUGUUCUUCAUCUUAAAACUCUCAAAUGGAUAAAAGGGGUCCAAAAUCAAAGAAUGCAGAACCAGGAAACCAAGGAAACGAUGAGAAAAAAAGCAAAAAGGGAUUAGAAAUUAAAGGGUACCGAGUGGAAGGGUUGUCAAUAGGAGGGCAUGAAACUUGCAUUAUUUUUCCCACUCUUAUUCAACUUUGAAAUAUUCCUUGUUUUGUGCAUAAUAUUUUUUUUUGACACUUUUAGCUCAGUCAAAAUGUUUCUAAUAUGUGCUUGAAGUUGCUGUGUAUUCCAGGGGCUUUGGGAUGUAGAGAACGACAAUGAUGGCCAACAAGAAGGCUACGUGUUGCAGGUUUAUGUUAAUGUGGCUUUUAGCAAGAAAACUGUUUGGAAAGAAACUUAGUUUGGAACAAUCUAGUUUUAGCCAGCAAGGAAUGGAAGCCUCCAUUAAGCGUUUGCUUGCAGAAAAGGAAGAAUUGGCAAUGGUAGUCUAAUAUAUCAUUGGUUAUGAAGAAAGCUUUGUGUCUUUGGUAGUCUAAUUGUGUUUGUUGGACCGUGCCUUUGAUAUUGCAGCAACUUACUAAUUCACUAUUGGAAAUGGAGGAAGAAAAGGCAAUACAGUGUGCUAGAGAGAAGGCUUCAAUUGAAGCUAUUGAAGAGAAAAGAAAGUUAUACAAUUCUCAGAUAACAUCGUUAUCAGAAAAAUUGUCUGAGGAGUCGUGAAUUUCUAUUGCAGGAAGGGUAUACUGCCUUCGCAACAAAGGAAGAGGCAGACACUGAGUUUGUGGCUGAAGGCUUCAGUGCAAGACCUUGCUUCUCGUGCAGCUAGUCGAGCCAUGGCUGAAGCUGCAAAAAGAAUCAGCCCUCCAAAUACAGCAUAUCAAUUUGAGGUUUCCUAUAGAGCCCUAUCUGGUGAUCGUUCACUACAGGCUCAUCUUCUGAAGGUUACAUCUCCAAGUGCUUUACCACAGAUCUUUAAAAACGCAAUGUCUGCUUCCAUGUUAGUUGACAUUGUUAAAUGUGUCGCUACAUUUUUCAGGUCAGCAACACGGAUCUUGAAGAAAAAAAAGCUAAAGAUCAAUGUUCAUAGGCCUGUGGGGACAAGGGUUGUCUUUGAUGAGGAAGGCAACACAUAGGCUCCACUUGCUAUGUUGGCUGACAAGACGAGAGACGAUAUACUGCUUGACCAAGAUAUUGAAAGUGUAGUGGAGGAUUCAAUCUCUUCAAGCAAGAAAAGCCAAGGCUUAGCACUUCUUCAAGUAGAGUGUUAUUUAAUGUUGCAUUCCAUGGUCAUUUAUCUUAGUCGGAACUUGAAUUAGGUGUUAUUGAAACAGGGUUUUGUAGCUGCCUUGUAUACUAGCUUCUUUAAUCAUGAUUGUUAAUUAUUACGUGUUUUGUAGCUUCUUUUAUAUUUGGCCGAGUUAAUAUAGAUCAUAUGAGUUUGA